ACUUUUAAAGGAAAAUAGUUAUCCAAUGGCCCUAGGAACCAAAGUUCU
rnacentral:tRNA from 1 species